AGGUACCAAAGAUAGAGAAAGUCCCAGGGUUUCCAUAUUUCCAACUCUCUCUUUCUUUCAUUUAUUUUGAUUUGUACCCUCUUUUGUUAUCCAAAAGUAGUUGAGCUUGUAACCAAUAAUCCCCCCUUCUUUUCUUAUUUUUUUUAAAAUCUCUGAAAAAAUUGAAGAUUGAUUUCUCAAUGGGAAGAGGAAGAGUUGAGCUUAAGAGAAUAGAAAAUAAAAUAAAUAGGCAAGUCACUUUUGCUAAGAGAAGAAAUGGACUUCUUAAAAAAGCUUAUGAACUUUCUGUUCUUUGUGAUGCUGAAGUUGCCCUUAUAAUCUUCUCUAAUAGGGGUAAACUCUAUGAAUUUUGCAGCACUUCAAGCAUGGUGAAAACAAUUGAAAAGUACCAACGUUGCAGCUAUGCUACUUUGGAAGCCAACCAAUCAGUUACUGAUACUCAGAAUAACUACCACGAAUAUCUGAGGCUAAAAGCUAGAGUUGAGCUCCUCCAACGAUCUCAGAGAAACUUUCUUGGUGAAGAUUUGGGCACGUUAAGCUCGAAGGACCUUGAGCAGCUUGAGAAUCAAUUAGAGUCUUCCUUAAAGCAAAUCAGGUCAAGGAAGACACAAUUCAUGCUGGAUCAGCUUGCAGAUCUUCAACAAAAGGAGCAAAUGCUUGCAGAAUCUAAUAGAUUACUCCGUAGAAAGUUAGAAGAAAGUGUAGCUGGAUUUCCACUUCGAUUGUGUUGGGAAGAUGGAGGUGAUCAUCAACUUAUGCAUCAACAAAAUCGUCUCACUAACACAGAGGGUUUCUUUCAGCCUCUUGGAUUGCAUUCUUCUUCUCCACAUUUUGGGUACAAUCCUGUUAAUACAGAUGAGGUGAAUGCAGCGGCAACUGCACACAAUAUGAAUGGAUUUAUUCAUGGAUGGAUGCUUUAAUCUGAUAAUUCGAACAAGCUAAUCCAUGUUUGGUUAAACAGUUAUACAGUAAUAAUGUAUUGCAUGUAUUAUCAUCCUUUUUUGUUUUGUUGCAAAUUUUAUUUCGAAACUCUCUUCAGGAAUUAUCGCGGCGAUCGAUUAAUCGAGGACAGUAAAUGUAAUGUAUGCAUAAGUUGCUACUUUAACAUUUGAAACUUCCUGACUAUGCAUUUCUGAUUGUAUCACAAUGUGUAAUUAAAUGGAAUUGUUGUAUUUUUUGUAUCAUUGAAUCAUAUGCUUAUCUUGUAC
rnacentral:misc_RNA from 1 species